CUGCCCUUCGAGGGACAGUCCCCUCCCACCCCAUGUAUACGGUGUCACAGUCAGGAGUCCACUGCAGCACUGGCUGCAUCGGGGAGAACUGGAAUCAACCGAAACUCCCAUGGCCUGGGGUGUGAAUCCAGGCACUGUGGGAAAUUCAGAGCUUGCUCCCUAGCAGUUGAAAUGAAUCCGCGCAGGUAGAGUUAUAGACAGAGAGAGACAGAGAAAGGUCUUCCUUCUGUUGGUUCACCCACUAAAUUGCCGCUACAGCCAGUAUUGCACUGAUCCGAAGCCAGGAGCCAGGUGCUUCUCCUGGUCUCCCGUGUGGGUGCAGGGCCCAAGCACCUGGGCCAUCCUCCACUGCCCCCCGGGCCACAGCAGAGAGUUGGACUGGAAGAGGAGCAACUGGGACUAGAACUGGGCGCCCAUAUAGGAUGCCAGCGCCGCAGGCGGAGGAUUAACCAAGCACCUAACCCUUUGCUGCUCACCCUGCGUAGCUUCAAGUGUGCAUCCUCCAGGGCUGCCCCCCAGUUCUCCAGGGAUGGACACUCAGCUUACACACGUGUAAGAGAAAGUGCCCCUGGGGAGGGCACAGUGGCAGUGGAUGCUUCUCCUCUGAACGCCUGCAGUGCCUUGGUCUCCUGUGCCCCUCCAUCUCUGUGCCAAAUUACAGAUCCUGAUACAGGCGCCUGCCUCACCCCCAGGGUGGUUCUUGCUCAUCUUUUGAGUCAGUGACUAGCAAAGAGCUUGGCAGAUGCUUGAAUUCCCAUGGCUUCUGUCGCUCCCCAGGUUCACGCAGGUUCACGCUUUAUGCCAGGCCAAAGUGAGCAGAUUGUGACAAGGUCGCGAUAUGUCCAUCUUUGCUGACAGAGUGACCAGACUGCAAGGGAGAGGAACACUGUUGUGAAAGGUGACGAGGGAGCAGAAACCUGUGAAAUGUUUGGAACUUGGUCUCCCUGGAGUAAAUAAACCACAGAAACUCUGGGCAUGCCGACCACGAAGGGAACGUCAGAUCCCAGGGCAAGCCACGAACGUUCCAGCUGUGGCUUGGAUUUUCUUCCUGCGUUUUCUUUAUAACCUAUCAGCUUGCUGGCACCUUGCUUCAGGAGCUCCAGGCAAAGCUGGAGAAGCAGCUGAAAUGCCUGACUGGGCUCCUAUUUACUGAAACCUCCCUGAGAGCGAAACGAACAGGAAAGAAAAACACAAGCGUCUCCAGUUCUCCCUGCUGAGUGUCUGUGUGAUGCUCCCUUCACCUGAACAUGGGCUUCUCAGCUGGCUUCCCAUCUCUGCUGAUAGCCAUGCUAAGGUACUCAACACCCAGGCUGGCACUGUGGCGUAGCGGGCUAAGCCUCUGCCUGCAGCUCAACAUCCCAUAUGGGCGCCGGUUCAAGACCCUGCUGCUCUACUUCCUAUCCAGCUCUCUGCUGUGGCCUGGGAAAGCAGUAGAAGAUGGCCCAAGUCCUUGGGCCCCUGCACCCGCGUGGGAGACAUGGAAGAAGCUGGCUCCUGCCUUCGGAUCGGCACAGCUCCUGGCUUCAGAUUGGAACAGCUCCAGCCAUUGCAGCCCAUUGGAGCAUGAACCAGUGGAUGGAAGACCUCUCUCUGCCUCUCCUUCUCUCUCUCUGUGUAACUCUGGCUUUCAAAUAAAUAAAUAAAUCUUUUUUGAAAAAAGAUACUUACCCUCCACAGAGUGUUUUCAAAUGAAUAAACAC